UGGGGAAUAUUGGACAAUGGGCGAAAGCCUGAUGGAGCGACGUCGCGUGAUGGACGAAGUGCUUCGGCACGUAAACAUCUUUUAUGUGGGAUGAAAUUAUUGACAGUACCACAUGAAUAAGGGGCUCCUAACUCUGUGCCAGCAGGAGCGGUAAUACAGGGGCCCCAAGCGUUAUCCGGAAUCACUGGGCGUAAAGGGUGUCGAGGCGGUUGUAUUAGUCGUUCGUAAAAUCUACGAGCUUAACUUGUAGGCGGCGAACGAAACGGUACGACUUGAGGUUUGGAGAGGUGCGUGGAACUCACGGUGUAGGGGUGAAAUCCGUUGAUAUCGUGGGGAACACCAAAGGCGAAGGCAGCGCACUGGCCAAAAUCUGACGCUCACACACGAAAGCUAGGGUAGCGAAGAGGAUUAGAUACCCACGUAGUCCCUGAGCGGGCUGGCAAGGCGCAU
rnacentral:rRNA from 1 species